rnacentral:lncRNA from 1 species
AACAAAGUGUAGCAAUCACACCUCGAAUAAUUCAUUAUGUUUCGAAAGAUUCUCCCAUUCAUUAACAAAGUGUAACAAAGUGUAACAGACUGAAAGGAAUAUUACAUUGCAAACAACGUACAGUACUAAAUAUGUAGUGAGGACGGUUUCAUGUUCCGCCCCAUGAAGCAACAAUUAUUUGAGAGAGAUUCCGUGGUGCAAUUUUCUAGUGAUUUGGGGGGAGUACUAACGGAUCAGAUCAGCCAUUCAUUCAUAGGAUUUCUAGGUAUUUUACAUUGACGAAUUUUGAAACAAUCUUGUUUGCCUCAUUUUCCCAACCUGCUCCUGAUGUUUCUUUUCUCUUGAAACUAACCUGAUCUUUCUGCUACCUGAAAUUGUCUCACAGUGGUACUCCACGCAGCAUCAUACUUCAUCUGAAAUCCUUUACGGCAUGUUAAUGAAACCAAAUAUUAAUUAUUCGAUGGUUUGAAAAUCUGAAGGGAAAAUAAAUGUGGAAAACAAGUAAAGCUCCAGAAAUUUUAAUGUCCAAACUAAACAAACUGAGCAGGACAGCCCUCAUAAGCCUGUGUUAAUGCUUUUCAUAGUUUACACAAAAUACAAAAAUGAAUCAAGCUGCAUGUCAUCCGCGGCCCAAAUAAGCAUAUGGGCUCUCCAAACAGAGAAAGAAAGCAAUCAUGUUUGACUCAUUCUUCCAACCUACUCUUGAUUUUUCUUUUCACUUGAAACUAACCUGAUCUUUCUACUGCCUGAAACUGUCUCCAAGUGGUACUCCACACAGCAUACUACUUCAUCUGAAACCAUUUAUAGCACGUUAGUUGAUUGUAACUUUAACGAAACCAAAUAUUAUUCACUGUACAACUCCAGACAUUUUAAUCUCCAAACUAAACAGACUGACCAGGAUAGCCCUCAUAUCAUAAGCUUAUUAAUGUUGUUCCAUGGUUGACACAAAGUAUACAAAUUAAUCAAGCUGCAUGUCCACACACAAGACCUCCCAAGGUGAGCUCUGUCGAGGCGGUUUGUUCCAGAUUGGAGGAUCAAAAAUCAGAAGGAAAAAGAAAUAGAAAUUCCAAGCAAGUCUAGUGCUAGAAAAAAGUUGAAGUGGCACUAGUCAUUCCGAACAAUCAACACAAUAUGGAGAGCUUUUCCGCAGAAAGAAAUGAACUCUGAAAAUUGGUCUAAAGUAUAACAGCUCAACAAUCUUAGGAGCUUGAUCCUGUCAGGUUUCAUUCAAAGGUAACAAAGACAUAUACAGAGCUUGAUUAAGCUUUGCAGCCGGUCGAUGGCAGCUUCUGAUGCAGCUUUGUACAUUAUUAUUUCUUAAAUCGCAUUUCAAGUAUUUUACCAUAACCAAAGAUUGUAGUACAACCAACUAAAACAGACAGGUUGCAGAACUCUUGUGCAUCUCGUCAAAACAAGUAUGAAAGAGCUAUUAUGAAAGUUGGAUCUGGUGAUUCCGCAUGAGGUAAGUUGCAUAAAAAAAUCUUCAGUAAACAGGUAGUAUCAGACAAGAACAAUACCAACAACUUCACUGAAAGAGCGGCACAUCGGCGGCAUGUCCAGGGAGCUGGAGCUCGCCGAGCUUGAUGUGGCGGCGGGUGCUAGAGCCCCACCGCCCCUUUCUCCCCCCACCGCCGGCACCAGGCGGGUGCUAGGCAUUCCUUCUGCCACUAUGCCGCGCACUUGCCACCGACCGAGGGCCGCGGCACCUCUGUUCCCCUGAAUCCGGCGUCGCGACUUGUACUUCCUGCCGCUCCUCCACCGCAG